CAAUGAGGGUACCUGAUACCCUGUGGAGAGAGAGACUUGUAAGUCUUUAAGCAGCAGAGAGUUAUUCCUUAAGAGAUUGGACUUGCCAAUCUGCCAGCUACCCAUAGUAAAUUUUCUGAUCAAGAAUUCAUGGGUGAAAAUAAGUUUUCUGCACAAUGGACAAGAAUGAUUUGGUGUAGGAUUUAAAAUUUCUGAAUCCCCAAACCAGUCUAACUCUGCUAUUAUUUUCUGUUAUUAGUCUUAUUUCUGUUCCCUCCCCAAGAAAGCUCUUG
rnacentral:lncRNA from 1 species